rnacentral:rRNA from 1 species
GAAAAGAAACCAACAGGGACCGCCCUAGUAACGGCGAGUGAAGCGGCAACAGCUCAAAUUUGAAAUCUGGCUUCGGCCCGAGUUGUAAUUUGCAGAGGAAGCUUUAGGCGCGGCACUUUCUGAGUCCCCUGGAACGGGGCGCCAUAGAGGGUGAGAGCCCCGUAUAGUUAGAUGCCUAGCCUGUGUAAAGCUCCUUCGACGAGUCGAGUAGUUUGGGAAUGCUGCUCAAAAUGGGAGGUAAAUUUCUUCUAAAGCUAAAUACCGGCCAGAGACCGAUAGCGCACAAGUAGAGUGAUCGAAAGAUGAAAAGCACUUUGAAAAGAGGGUUAAAUAGCACGUGAAAUUGUUGAAAGGGAAGCGCUUGUGACCAGACUUGCGCCGGGCAGAUCAUCCGGU